GGACAGGUGGCCGAGUGGUUUAAGGCAGCGGUCUUGAAAACCGCCGUGGGCGCAAGCUGUUCGAAUCCCACCCUGUCCGCCA
rnacentral:tRNA from 1 species